UUAUAUUGAUGUUCUCUUUGGGCGCGCUAAUUUGGCUGAAGCUGAGGCAACUGGCUGACAUACGGAGUCUUCUAUCUGGAACUACGAGUGCUGGUACAGUGAGCAUUUAAGGUCAUUUGAGCUGACAUCCUCAGACAAUUUCUCUGUGCAUCAGCUGUCAGACCUAAAUGACACAGUAAGUCUCACAGCAUACC